GCCGGGGUAGCUCAGUUGGUAGAGCGCUCGACUUGUAAUCGAGAGGUUUCGCGAGUUCGAUCCUCGCCCCCGGCU
rnacentral:tRNA from 1 species